AGUGAACGCUGGCGGCGUGCCUAAUACAUGCAAGUCGAACGGAGUGGCGCGCGGGUGCGUAAUGUAUAUCUAAUCUGCCCUACACUAGAGGACAACCGUUGGCAACGACUGAUAAUACUCUAUAGUGUAGGAUGAGGCUAUAUUGUAUCAGCUAGUUGGUGAGGUAAUGGCUCACCAAGGAUAUGACGCAUAACUGGUCUGAGAGGAUGAUCAGUCACACUGUAAGUGAGACACGGUCGAGAAUCCUAGCGGAGGGAGCAGAAGGGAAGUUUGCGCAUGGGGCGAAACCCUUAAGCAGCGACGCUGCGUGGAGGAUGACAAUUUUCGGGGAGUAAAGUCAUUUUGUUAGGGAAACGGUACCUAACGAAUAAGCACCGGCUAACUCCGUGCCAGCCGCCGCGGUAAUUC
rnacentral:rRNA from 1 species